rnacentral:rRNA from 1 species
CUACGUAGGGUGCAAGCGUUAAUCGGAAUUACUGGGCGUAAAGCGUGCGCAGGCGGUUAUGUAAGACAGAUGUGAAAUGCCCGGGCUUAACCUGGGAACUGCAUUUGUGACUGCAUGGCUAGAAUCUGGCAGAGGGGGGUAGAAUUCCACGUGUAGCAGUGAAAUGCGUAGAUAUGUGGAGGAACACCGAUGGCCGAAGGCAGCCCCCUGGGAUAACACUGA